CUUCAGGAACAUCCUGGGGCCACCACAGAGUUCUCCAGGAACCCCUCAAGGCCACCAAGGCCACCCGAUGUCCCCUCCGGCCACUUCCACCCCCGCGAGCCGAUCGUCCCCGAACCGGGGGCGUCCCCUGGGUGUCCCCAAGGCAGCGGUGACCUCCCGGGCAGGUGUGCGAGCUGGACAUCAUCUUCAACUUUGAGAAGGCCUACUUCAUCCUGGACGAGUUCGUGAUGGGCGGCGAGAUCCAGGACACCUCCAAGAAGAGCGUCCUCAAGGCCAUCGAGCAGGCGGACCUGCUGCAGGAGGAGGACGAAUCCCCCCGGAGCGUCCUGGAGGAAAUGGGGCUGGCGUAG